rnacentral:lncRNA from 9 species
AUGGUAUGCUCUACCCAUAGUGCUUUCAACAGCCCAGUCUGGCUAGUAAAGAAGUCAGAUGGCUCAUGGUGGAUGACUGUGGACUACGGAGAACUGAACAGUCAUUAUUCAGCUCAACACUGUCACCAUCUGGAUGGAAAGAAGAACUGCAGCAUCCAGGGGCUGCUCAGAGGACUUUGGCUGAUGAUCACUCAUCAUUGAAGAAGGAAAAAGCUGGAGCCAUUUUCAAGGAGGCAGCCUGAGAGAGCAAGGCGUUGAGACCAUUUCGACUGUGGACAUGACUGAACCCAGGUAAGACUUCUGUAUAAACUUAGACUUAAGUAUAAACUUGUAAGAUUCUGAUGGAGUUUACGGAGACCUACCUUUGCGGCAGCCCAUUAUAAUCCUUGUAAGUUCCAUUGCUUAAUAUCAUUAUUAUUAUUUCCAUUGCUUACUAAACUUGCCACUACCGAUCUGGAGUGGCCUGCUUUUUCUCUCCUUGCCCUGUUCGGGGGCCAGUUUCAGAUUUUACCCAGAAGUUUCCGAGUUUUUGAACCAAUGCACCUUCACUAAACUGAGCUUUUAACUUUUCUCUUUUGGUUGGUCUUGGUUUAUUUCCACAAACAGGUGUGUCAUUUAUACUAUUUAGAAAUCUCUUUGUAAUGUUUUCAAGUCUUUAAGAUACAAAUAAAUAUUUAUUUGCUGUG